rnacentral:lncRNA from 1 species
AUGGAGACACAGGCCACAGGCAGAGGGAGAAGCAGGCUCCAUGCAGGGAGCCUGACAUGGGGCUUGAUCCCAGGUUUCCAGGAUCAGGUCCUAGGCUGAAGGCUGCACUAAACCACUGAGCUACCUGGGCUGCCCUUAACAUUAUGUCUAUAAGGUGAAACAAACAAACAAACAAAAAAUGUGGCUUCUCUCAAAAUUUAAUGCCUGGUAGUUAAUCCAUCCCCUUUGUCAUUUAUAUCAAGAAAUUGCCACAAAUAUGUCAGAAUUCACUAAUCACUUUUGGAGACCAAGUUGUUCAAUCUCAGGUCCCAGUGUCUCCCAGGUCCAUAAUUUUAUAGAAGUCAGAGUAAAGAGACCAGUAAGACUCCUGGAAGUCUCACCAUCCCUGCAUCAUCCAUUUGUAGAGAAGGUUUACAGAUGCACCAUGACUGGAGCUCAAGACACAGUUCAUUUAUCCUUCUCCUAGCAGCUGAUUACAUAGACGUAUGUGACAAUCAAUAUUCAUGCCCUCCGCUCCUUCCUGAGGGAGAGACAUGAAUUUUCACUAUCAAAGAGCCAUCACUGUCUAAUUUACCAAAGAGCAUGAGGAAUGAAAUCAAAGAUUGACCUAGACUAUGACCAAUUUAUGUCAGACAAGCAAAUUAUGAUAAAACUGUGCCUCUUGUUGAAAGAACAGAAGUAUUUAUUAUUUGGAAUGCUUUUAAAUUGCAUUGUUAUAUUUUUCAACAUCACAGGAUGAUUCCUCUUAAUAAAUCUUUUCCUUGGUAUGAGUUAAUAGAAAAUAAAUGUCUUGGUCUCUGCCCUGGAACUCCGGAAGCCUUGUAAUUUUCUACAUGACAGGAGUGUCUUUUGUUCUUUUGUGGCAACUCCCUGGUGAGCUUCUGGAUGGUUCCUGGAUAGGAGCUGGUCACCGGAAGGUCCAAGCCAAGAUUAGGAACUUGGUAUUUUCAGCCCUAACUCCCAUUGUCUUGAGAUGGGAGAGAACUGAAAAUGGAGUUAAUGAUCAAUCAUGCCUACAUGAUGGGGCCUCCUUAAAAUCCCAAAAGUAGAAUGUUUGGAGAGCUUCCAGUUAGGGUGACAUACCCCAACUCCAUGGGAACAGGAGGAGCUUCUGUGCUUGGGACCCUUCCAGAAUCUCCCCCCACCUGCCCCUCAUGUAUAUUUUGUCUGGCUGUUCAUCUAUAACCUUUAUGGUGUCCUUUAAUCAACUGGUAAACAUACGCAAGUGUUUUCUUGAGUUAUGUAAGCCACUCUAGCAAAUAAGUUUGAACCUGAGGAAAGAGUCAUUGGAACCUCCUAUCUAUUUAACUGGUUGGUCAGAAGCACAGGGGACAACCUGGACUUGUGACUGGCUUCUAAAUCUGAGGGGUCAGUCUUUGGGACUGAGCCCUUUCCCUAUGAGAUCUGAUGCUAAUCUCUGGGUACAGAGUGUCAGAACUGAGUUUAAUUGUAGGAUAUCCAGCUGCUGUCUGAGACUUACUUGUUGUUGUGGGGAAAACCCACACUUCAGAAGGGAACUGUGCUGUGUGAGUGUGAUAGUGGCAUGAAAGUAAGGGAAACAUAUAGGAGAGAAAGAUACAGAAGGUGGAAAACCGAGUUUUUCUUUUUUACUUAGUGUCUGUCAAAAUAAUAUUCACCUGAUUUUGGAGGCAAACGGUAGAGAACACUUUACCUUUAGAUCUUUGAGUAACACUGUUCAAAAAAUGCUGCAAUAUCAUCAAAACCCUUUUAAAGUACUCUUGAAUUAGCCCAAUAAUUGGUAGGAAAAAAAAGACAAUCAUGAUAUGAAAAAAAAAAGUGUUGAUGUAAAUGUCUAUUGGAUGUUAUUUCGAUCUCUAUGUUCCUAGUAUAUUCUGCUAAUACUUUGGAAUCAUUUUAUUUUUGGUAGCAAUGUUAGGUGUUAUAAAAGACAAACUCUCUGUUAUAUUAAAUUGCCUGUGCUCAUGUCCUUCACUUGGCCUCAAAAUACAACAUGUUCUUUCUCUAAAGAAUAAUAACUCAAAAGUUUUUCCAAAUAAUCACUUUUUAAGGAUAUUUUGGUAAACAUAAAUUCACAUUAAAAAGUGUAGAGAAACAGAAUUACAGAAUUUUUACUGUAACAUCCUAUAACUUGUGUAUAUAUAGUGUAUAGGAAUCAGUAUUUCUGAAGAAGCUUGUUUUACCUUUUUUUGUGAUCUUUAUACCAUUUUCCCUUUUCACACUAAAAGUUAUUUUCAUACAGUGGGAAAUAUGAUUGUGAUUCCCUAUCAUUUGGAUGGUUCCUUAAAUUAUAUUUCUCAUAACAGUGUUAAGUUUUGGGGGGCACCAGGGUGGCUCAGUCAGUUAAGCGUCCAACUCUUAUUUUUGGUUCAGAUCAUGAUCUUGGGGUUGUGAGAUCGAGCCCCAAGUCAAGCUCCCUGCUAUCCACUCAUUAUUCACAGAAAUACUUAUUGAGCAUCAUUUGUGCAUAAGAAACUAUGCUGAAUGUUGGACAGGACACAAAGAUAAAACAUUCUCCUUGCCUAAAAAAAAAAAAAAA